rnacentral:rRNA from 1 species
UACGGAGGAUGCGAGCGUUAUCCGGAUUUAUUGGGUUUAAAGGGUGCGUAGGCGGGCUGUUAAGUCAGCGGUAAAAGCCCGGGGCUCAACCCCGGCGAGCCGUUGAAACUGGCUGUCUUGAGAUGUCGAGAGGUAUGCGGAAUGCGCAGUGUAGCGGUGAAAUGCUUAGAUAUUGCGCAGAACUCCGAUUGCGAAGGCAGCAUACCGGCAGCGAUCUGACGCUGAGGCACGAAAGCGUGGGUAUCGAACAGG